rnacentral:piRNA from 2 species
UGAAGGACACAACUUUAGACUAAGGU